AAGGUAAAAGUGAUUUAAAACUUAUUGAAAAUCUAUCACUGCACAAGGUUUCAUUGUAUAAUCAAAUGUGUGUAGGGAAUGUUACUUGAUGGAAAAGAAAUCGCGGUAAAGAGACUAUCAAAAAUGUCUUCACAAGGGACCGAUGAGUUCAUGAACGAGGUUCGAUUAAUUGCAAAGCUUCAGCACAUAAACCUUGUCCGGCUUCUUGGUUGUUGCGUCGAUAAGGGUGAGAAAAUGUUGAUCUACGAGUUCUUGGAGAAUCUAAGCCUUGAUUCUCAUCUCUUUGGUUAGUGACUUAAAACAGCUUAUAUAUGCUCUAAUAAUUGAUCAUCUUUGGGAAUAAGUUCACACGUUAUUGGUUGUAUUCGAUUUGUAGACAAAACCCGACGCUCUAACUUAAAUUGGCAAAAGAGAUUUGAUAUUAUCAAUGGAAUUGCUAGAGGACUUCUAUAUCUUCACCAAGAUUCACGGUGUAGGAUUAUCCAUAGAGACUUGAAAGCAAGUAAUGUAUUGCUUGAUAAAAAUAUGACUCCGAAGAUCUCGGAUUUUGGGAUGGCUAGGAUCUUUGGACGGGAGGAGACAGAAGCUAAUACAAGGAGGGUGGUUGGAACUUAGUAAGCAACCAUUCUCCAAAAAAAAAAAUUAAGAGCAUUUAUCUCAAAUCCAAAUUUGAAAAAAAUACCUCAUAACAUGAGUUUAUUCUUCGUUAUGUAGCGGCUACAUGUCUCCAGAAUAUGCAAUGGACGGGAUAUACUCGAUGAAGUCGGAUGUUUUCAGCUUUGGGGUCUUGCUUCUGGAGAUUAUAAGUGGCAAAAGAAAUAAAGGAUUUUACAACUCAAACCGUGAUCUUAAUCUCCUCGGUUUUGUAAGCUAAGAACCUCUUGAAUUUGAUAUUAUUUUGCACUCAUAAUCUGAUUAUAACACUAAAGAAAGAUUACAUCCUUUAUGCACAGGUGUGGAGGCAUUGGAAGGAAGGAAAAGGGCUAGAGAUUGUAGAUCCGAUCAACAUAGAUUCUUCGCCAUCAACUUUGCGGACACAUGAAAUCUUAAGAUGUAUACAAAUUGGUCUCUUGUGUGUUCAAGAACGUGCCGAAGACAGGCCAGUGAUGUCCUCGGUAAUGGUGCUGCUUGGAAGCGAAACCACGGCUAUAACUCAGCCUAAACGUCCUGGUUUUUGUAUUGGGAGAAGUCCUCUUGAGGCUGAUUCUUCGUCAAGUACACAACGUGGCGAUGAAUGUACAGUGAAUCAAAUCACCGUCUCAGUCAUUGACGCUCGGUAAUUUGGAAAUUUACCUACCCAAUCUGUUUAUAUGCAUAUCUUUUAUUUGCAAAUCUCAAUGGCAAUUUUUCGUAAAAAAAAGAAGCCUCAACAAGAGUACACGAUGCAAAGUUGAGGUUUUUUCUUUUCAACGAAAAUGCAUAGUUGAGGCUUUUUAUGAGAUUUUUUCCUUAUUUUAUAUGUAAGUCUAAUUAAAAAAAAAAUUACUUCAUGAUUAGAUAACUUGCUCUAUCUGAUUUAAUUUAGACAAAGAUGCACCACAUGUUUCGCAUGAUUUUGAUUAAGAGCGAGGACUAUUAAAACAACCAUUUAGACGAAGACCAAAAAUGAAGGAAAAUAUGAAGAUGGAGUUCAAAAUGAAAGAUUUGGAGUUGUUACUCCAAGAGUUGAAGAAAGCAAGAGCAAACUUGGUGUGAGACCGAAACUCAAUUAAGAGGGAGUUUAGUAAUGAUUAAUAUUUGCUGUUGUGCCUGAGGCAGUACGGACUACAAAAUAUAAUGUUUGCUUAAGAAAAGUUGUAGGAAGCGAACAUAGAACUUUAUGGCAAUUACCACAGAGGACUUUAUAAAACAAAUCGAAAUCAUCCUUUUUUUGAAUUCAUCGGUGAAGAAGCAUUCUCUUGCAUAUAACAUAUUGCAUGUCACCAGCAAUAUUGAAGUUUUAUAUAAUUCUCGUACACACACACAAAGGAUUGAUAAAUAAUAAAAAAUUUCUUUUCAUUUGGUAGGUCAACUCUAUAGUGACAUAGUCUAUAGAUAUUUCAAAUACGAACAAGAAGACCCGGAAAAUAAAGCCGAAAAUGAAAUAUUAUCAACAAUAAUAUAGAGAGAAAUCGUGUAAAAUAACGUUCACACAUUUAAUGCAACACAUUGUCUGAUUUAGUCAAAGAUAAAAAUUCUCAAUAUAUGUACAUACAAUUUGCUCAAGAAGAAAAAUAAAACAGAACACAAGAAAUUGUCCGAGAGAGAGAUGAUGAGAAGUGUACAAAACUACCACCAUUCUUACAUCUUCAUCAUCUUAAUUCUGUUUCUUGCUUUCUCUGUUUCUGCAAACACUUUUUCAGCCACAGAAUCUCUCACUCUCUCAAGCAACAAAACCAUUAUAUCUCCUAAUCAAAUAUUCGAGCUCGGUUUCUUCAAUCCCGCAUCAAGUUCGCGUUGGUAUCUCGGGAUAUGGUUCAAGAUAAUCUCUAAGAGAACCUACGUAUGGGUUGCAAACAGAGACAAUCCUCUCUCUAGUUCCAACGGAACUCUCAAAAUAUCCGGCAAUAACCUCGUCAUUUUCGAUCAAUCCGAUAGACCUGUUUGGUCGACCAAUAUAACCGGAGGAGAUGUUAGAUCACCACUGGUUGCAGAGCUUCUUGAUAACGGUAACUUCGUGCUUAGAGACUCCAAAAAUAAAGAUCCAAGAGGAUUUUUGUGGCAGAGUUUCGAUUUUCCGACAGAUACUUUACUAUCGGAGAUGAAAUUGGGAUGGGAUAACAAAACCGGAUAUAGCAAAUUAUUGAGAUCUUGGAAAACCACAGAUGAUCCAUCAAGCGGCGAUUUCUCGAUUAAACUCCGAACCAGCGGUUUCCCUGAAUUUUACGUAUGCAAUAGAGAGUCCAUAACAUACCGGAGCGGUCCAUGGAUCGGAAAUCGGUUUAGCAGUGUACCAGGGACGAAGCCACUUGAUUACAUAGUUAACAAUUUUACUAUGAGUAAUCAAGAAGUAGCUUACACAUACCGAGUCAACAAAACCAACAUUUACUCGAUAUUAAGCCUAAGCUCCACGGGAUUAUUACAACGAUUAACUUGGAUGGAGGCAGCACAGAGUUGGAAACAAUUAUGGUACUCACCAAAGGACCUAUGUGAUAACUACAAAGAGUGUGGGAAUUACGGUUAUUGCGAUCCGAACAGUUCACCUAUUUGUAAUUGUAUCAAAGGGUUUGAGCCAAUGAAUGAGCAAGCGGCUUUGAGAGAUGAUUCCGUUGGUUGCGUGAGGAAGACGAAUCUGAGUUGUGACGGUAGAGAUGGGUUUGUGCGGUUGACGAAGAUGAGACUGCCAGAUACUACAACGACAAUUGUGGACAGAGGAAUUGGGUUGAAAGAAUGUGAAGAGAGGUGUCUAAAAGAUUGUAAUUGUACGGCCUUUGCUAAUACCGAUAUUCGUAAUGGCGGAUCCGGUUGCGUGAUUUGGACCGGAGAGCUGUUGGAUAUCCGAAAUUAUGCUAAGGGAGGUCAGGAUCUUUACGUUAGACUAGCCGCUGAAGAUCUCGGUUAGUUCUUUUUCCUUUACAUUUAAUAAAGUGUUUUUUUUUUUGUUGACUAAGAGAUUAUGAGCCAAGGUCCGUAUACCCACCCUUUCAAGCUGCGGACCAAAUUAAAUCAUGUAAUAUGGUCUCUUCCCAAACACAAUUUAAACUCCUGAUCUAUGAAUCUAAAGAGUCUUUGGUCAACAAAGUAUAUAGUUGAUGUUUGGUAAACUUUUAGGUUUAUUUUUUGAGAGCUACUAAAUAUCAAACUAGGGAAAAAAAAAGUUGAAUAUCGGAGAAGAUGGCUAAUAUAGACUAUAUACUGUUAAAGAUUUGGCGAUAAUCUGAAGAGAAAAACGUUAUGUAUACAAAAGUUUUUGGAUAAUGUAUAACUUUGGUAAGUUGUUGAGUAUUGCAAGUCAAAUUUAAUUACAUUGUUAUUGUUUAACAUACUAUAAAUUUAACCAAAGAUUUUCUAGCAAAAAAAACUAAUAUAUCAAAAGAUUAAUAUGGUUUAAGCUAGAUCCAAUACCAAAACAAAUCUUUGUUUAAGUUUUUAAUUAAUUAUUUUGUUUGUUUUUCGUAUAUAUAUAUGAUAAAAAGUACAAGGAUUUUGUUUUUGACAAUUACGUAGAAGGAAAUAUAUGUCUUCUUUUUUUUUUUUAUUGCAGAGGACAAGAGAAUCAAAAAUGAAAAAAUCAUAGGCUCAAGUAUUGGAGUGAGCAUUUUGCUUCUUUUAAUGUUCAUCAUCUUCCAUUUUUGGAAAAGGAAGCAGAAACGAUCAAUAGCAAUUCAAACACCGAUUGGUAAAUAAAUAGCUUCCAUUUCAUGUAUUAUUUAUUUACUUUUACUUUUAAUAAUCAAAUGUCUUAAUUUUUUUUUUUUUUUUUUUUGGUGUCUGAAUAAAACAGUUGAUCAAGUGAGAAGCCAAGAAUUGCCAAUGAACGAAGUGGUAAUAUCAAGCAGGAUUUACAGAUCCAAAGAAAACAAAACAGAGUAUCUAGAGCUCCCAAUGAUGGAGUUGAAAGCUCUAGCCAUGGCAACAAACAAUUUUUCUAACGACAACAAGCUUGGACAAGGUGGUUUCGGUAUUGUUUACAAGGUAAAAGUAAUCCAAAAUUUAUUGAAAAUCUAUCACUGCAUAAGAUUUCAUUGUAUAAUCAAAUGUGUGAUCAAAUGUGUGGUAACAGGGAAGGUUACUUGAUGGAAAAGAUAUUGCGGUAAAGAGAUUAUCGAAAAUGUCUUCACAAGGGACCGAUGAGUUCAUGAACGAGGUUAGAUUAAUAGCAAAGCUUCAGCACAUAAACCUUGUCCGGCUUCUUGGUUGUUGCGUCGAUAAGGGUGAGAAAAUGUUGAUCUAUGAAUACUUGGAGAAUCUAAGCCUUGACUCUCAUCUCUUUGGUUAGUGACUCAAAACAGCUUAUGUUCUAAUAAUUGAACAUCUUUGGGAAAAAUUUAACACUUUGUUGGUUGUGUUCGAUUUGUAGACAA
rnacentral:lncRNA from 1 species